rnacentral:tRNA from 1 species
AGGAGAAAUGGCAGAUGGGAAUGUGUUUAGUUUGAAACUGAAAGAUAGAGGUUUAAAUCCUUUUUUCUCUUA